GCGAUGGUAGUCUAGGAACCCUUUUUCUCGUUGCGCUCGAAAAAGCGUUCACGGAAAAUGGGUUGGAAGAUGGUAGGAUACAACCUUGCCAAAUGCAAACAGGUUGAGACCCGGGUUCAAAUCCCGGCCGUCGCA
rnacentral:tRNA from 1 species